GUUUGAUCCUGGCUCAGGACGAACGCUGGCGGCGGGCUUAACACAUGCAAGUCGAACGCCCCGCAAGGGGAGUGGCAGACGGGUGAGUAACGCGUGGGAAUCUACCCUUCUCUACGGAACAACUCCGGGAAACUGGAGCUAAUACCGUAUACGUCCUUCGGGAGAAAGAUUUAUCGGAGAUGGAUGAGCCCGCGUUGGAUUAGCUAGUUGGUGGGGUAAUGGCCUACCAAGGCGACGAUC
rnacentral:rRNA from 1 species